AGCCACUGGUAAGGUCGCUUCUGGAGCCUCUGAUUCCUCUAUCUGCGCUGCAUCCCAUGAUCCCGCCUCAGUCUGAGCAAUCCUCACUACCUCCAUCGGAUUUUCGUCCUUAUUAUCAAAAACCUUGGCAUUGCGUGCCUUCCAUAUAUACCAUAAUAACUAAGGAAUAAAUCUAGCUUGAUCAUCCUUCAGGGAUAAUCGAAGGAUAUAAUCCAUCUUCGCAUACACCAACGUUGUCGGGAAAGAGAGAAGGCCCACUAGAAUAU
rnacentral:lncRNA from 1 species